rnacentral:rRNA from 1 species
ACAGAGGUGGCAAGCGUUGUUCGGAAUUACUGGGCGUAAAGGGCGCGUAGGCGGCCAUCUAAGUCAGACGUGAAAUCCCCCGGCUUAACCUGGGAACUGCGUCUGAUACUGGACGGCUUGAGUAUGGGAGAGGGAUGUAGAAUUCCAGGUGUAGCGGUGAAAUGCGUAGAUAUCAGGAGGAACACCAACGGCGAAGGCAGCUCGCUGGGACGGUACUGACGCUAAGGCGCGAAAGCGUGGGGAGCGAACAGGA